CGGGUGAGUAACGCGUGGGUAACCUGCCUCAUACAGGGGGAUAACAGUUAGAAAUGACUGCUAAUACCGCAUAAGCGCACAGAAUCGCAUGAUUCGGUGUGAAAAACUCCGGUGGUAUGAGAUGGACCCGCGUCUGAUUAGCUAGUUGGUGGGGUAAAGGCCUACCAAGGCGACGAUCAGUAGCCGACCUGAGAGGGUGAUCGGCCACAUUGGGACUGAGACACGGCCCAAACUCCUACGGGAGGCAGCAG
rnacentral:rRNA from 1 species